AUACGGAGGAUGCAAGCGUUAUCCGGAUUUAUUGGGUUUAAAGGGUGCGUAGGCUGUGGGGAAAGUCAGGGGUGAAAGCCCGGCGCUUAACGCCGGAACUGCCUUUGAUACUUCUCCGCUGGAAUACGGAUGCCGUGGGAGGAAUGAGUAGUGUAGCGGUGAAAUGCAUAGAUAUUACUCAGAACACCGAUUGCGAAGGCAUCUCACGAAUCCGUCAUUGACGCUGAGGCACGAAAGCGUGGGGAUCAAACAGGAUUAGAUACCCUGGUAGUCCACGCAGUAAACGAUGAUAACUAACCGUCGGCGAUACACAGUCGGUGGCCAAGCGAAAGCGAUAAGUUAUCCACCUGGGGAGUACGUUCGCAAGAAUGAAACUCAAAUGAAUUGACGGGG
rnacentral:rRNA from 1 species